rnacentral:lncRNA from 1 species
CGGAUCCGGAUCUAAAAAUUAAAAUAUCGGAUUCGGAUUCGAUUUUGACGGAUCCAAGAUUUUACUAUCCAGAUUCGGAUCCGGAAACUUCAGAUAUCAUAUUUUUGGAGCGGAUCCGGAAGAGAUUUCGGAUCGGAUCCGGAUCCCGGAUAAUAAUCCUAGGCCUAGUUAUUGGGUCAACUUGGUUUGUUUUUUAAAGCUUAUAAAGAGGAUAUUUAAGGGAUGAAAAUCGUUAAAUACAUAAGCAUAGAUUUCUCUUAAUUUAUUUUGAUUUCUUUUGUUUUAGAUUUGAACCUUUUGUGAAUCUUUUUUUUUUGUUUAAGAAUUUAUUUUGUUUAUCUUAUUGACAUUUUUUAGUCUUUGAUUAUGUGUCUAUCUAGAAUGAGUUUAGGUGUUUUCAUGAAUAUUAGUGAGUAUAUUUUUUAUAGCUUUUGAGUUCGGUAGAUUAGGAUGAUUGAUGCUUGAUGUAUGUUGUUUGGUGCUUAGUUUAUAUAUAUUCUUACUCGAUUGAUGUUCUUAAUGCUAGUUUAGGUUUGAUUAAUUAAAAAUUUAGAUUUUAAGAUUUCAUGCUCUGAAGGUAUUCGAUGAAAUGCUUAAAAGAAUCUAUCAAUGUACUUUACUUUCUUAGCCAAUGAAAGUUUUUUUAUUGAUUACUUGGACUUGAGAUUCAUGUAUACUUAGUGGUAAUUAACCAAUGAAAAUUGAUAUUACAAGCUUGAUUAGCAUAAGAGAUUAUCAUGCAAAUGGAUUAGCUUAAAUUAGUGAUCUUAGCCCUACGAAUUAGCAAUGGUUAAUAGUUUAAGCAUCAUGGGUUAGUAUGUGACCAUCCUAAUCAAUAACAUUGCAAUAACAUUGAGUCAAGAGCUUUUGUUUCUUGAAUUUUCGUUGGUUUGACUUUUGGUUGAGUUUUAUUCACUUUUUGAUUUUUUUUUUCUUCAUAAUUUAGCUUAAAAAAUUGUUCUAUUUUUUUAGAUCAAGGAAUUUUGUGCAUUUCUAGUGUCAAUAUAUCUCUAAUUCUCUUAGGUUCGAUCCUAAAGUGAUAUAAUAACACAACAUUCGAUUGUAGUAUUGACAUUAACCAUAGAAGAUUCAACGUGUUGUAUAUUCCCUUUGCCCAUUUCGUUAGCUCUCUUUUGAAAAUGCAUCUUGAAAUGUCCUUACUCUUCACUUCUUGUUUCGACCACCUUGAAUUAGGUUUCCUUUUGAAAAGUAGAGUUUUGCACAUCUCUUUGGAGAUUUUAUAUGGAACUCAGAUUCGAG